UAUAGAAUAAUUUUAAAAAUUACUUAAAAUGCUUAUUUUGUUAUUUCCAAAACUCAGAAAUGUAACAGUGAUGUUUCUACAAUGAAUUGUGUUUCAUUUGAAUUGUUAAACUAUGCUGGAACAAAACAGUCAAUCAUGUAUCAUUCUCUGAGAGCAGUUAAAUGCUCACUUAUCUGAGCUGCUAAACAGACAAUUGAAAGGCAUGAUCCUGGCAAAGCUUCAUGCAUGCAAAAAUUUUGGAAUAGUAAUAUGUAAUACAUCCUCCAUUAUACAGUUAUCCCACAGUAUCUACAGAUGAUGUGUGUACCCCCGUGGUCUUGGAUACUUAAUUCUAAGAGCUGCUCACUCUGUUUGUCUCCUGCACUGAGGAAAAGAAAAUGAAAGAAUGCAUCAGCACAGUUGAAGGAAGUUAUAUUGUUCAAGAUCCAAACAGUUUUCCAGCUAAGAUAUAAACCAGAAAUCAUCUGUGUGAGAAAGAUAUGAUUGAGGCACUCAUAUCAAAUCUACCUACUGUUGCAUAUACAUAUACAUAUUUACAUACACACACACAUGCAUUUAGAUGGUUUGGGCGCUUGGGUUUUUGUAUCACGUAACUAUAAUAAAGCAAGGUUCCUUAUAACCUUAGAUAAUUUUGCUUUUCAAUAACUGAAUUUUUCUCAGAGAAGUGAGUAAAAAUCUUCUCUGGAUUGUCUUGCAGAGGAAGUUCUUUUCCCUCACCUGAUUAGCAUUUUAUGGAGACUAAAUAAGUAAGGAAGCUGAAAGUACAUGAUUGAUACAUAAAUAGAAGAAAAAUAGAAUGCACAGAGGACAAGAGAGAGAGAGAAUUCUGGUAUCACACAUUUACUCUUUCUAUGAAUCUGAAGCUGUUGGAAAACCCACUGGAAAAUCUAUCAUUAUAGAAGACGAAUGGAACUUGGACCAAUGUCAAAGCCUUUGAAAAGAUACUUUUUAGUCAGGAAUAAUUCAAUUAUUACUGAAUUAUAUAAAUUCAAUAAUAAAUAUAAUUAUACUAUAUACAGUAUGUAUAAUAUAUAAUUAUAAUAUAAUUAUAAUCAAUAUAAAUAAUAAUAAUAAAUAAUAAUAAUUUAAAAAAAGAUUAACUGGUGGUAGUCAGACAAAAAGACCAAAUAAGUGAUUAAACAAAAUUCUCAUACCACAACAUUUUCUGGAGCACUUCAUGAUGUUCGAAUGCUAUAUCAAAGUGUAAACAAAGUGUGAACAUAUCACAUCAGUUCAACCAAGGUAUGAUUUGGAUGAGUGUGGUGGAAUACAUUGAAAUGUUGAUCAUGUAGCACGUUAGUGAGCUGUGUAUUGACAGGG
rnacentral:lncRNA from 1 species